rnacentral:rRNA from 1 species
CAGGUCUUGACAUCCUCUGAAAACCCUAGAGAUAGAGGCGGCCUUCGGGACAGAGGUGACAGGUGGUGCAUGGUUGUCGUCAGCUCGUGUCGUGAGAUGUUGGGUUAAGUCCCGCAACGAGCGCAACCCUUGAUUUUAGUUGCCAGCACUUUGGGUGGGCACUCUAGAAUGACUGCCGGUGACAAACCGGAGGAAGGCGGGGAUGACGUCAAAUCAUCAUGCCCCUUAUGACUUGGGCUACACACGUACUACAAUGGCUGGUACAACGGGAAGCGAAGCCGCGAGGUGGAGCCAAUCCUAUAAAAGCCAGUCUCAGUUCGGAUUGCAGGCUGCAACUCGCCUGCAUGAAGUCGGAAUUGCUAGUAAUCGCGGAUCAGCAUGCCGCGGUGAAUACGUUCCC